rnacentral:rRNA from 1 species
CACCGCGGUUAUACGAGAGGCCCAAGUUGACAACUCAACGGCGUAAAGCGUGGUUAAGUACCCCCCCCCCACUAGGGCCAAACACCCACAAAGCUGUUAUACGCAUGUUGAGGAUUUGAAGCACCCCCACAAAAGUGGCCCUAAACCCCCACUGACCCCACGAAAGCUACAAAA